AUGAAGGAAGUGGUAAAGAAAGAAAUAUUAAGGCUUCUAGAGGCAGGUAUAAUCUAUCCUGUUGCUGAUAGUGAGUGGGUAAGUCCUGUCCAUUGUGUCCCUAAGAAGGGAGGUAUUACUGUUGUUCCUAAUGAUAAAGAUGAAUUGAUUCCACAAAGAAUUAUUACAGGUUAUAGGAUGGUAAUUGAUUUCCGCAAAUUAAAUAAAGCUACUAAAAAGGAUUAUUACCCUUUGCCAUUUAUUGAUCAAAUGGUAGAAAGAUUAUCCAAACAUACACAUUUUUGCUUUCUAGAUGGUUAUUCUGGUUUCUCUCAAAUACCUGUGUCAGCUGAUGAUCAAGCUAAGGCCACUUUUACAUGCCAUUUUGGUACUUUUGCUUAUAGACGUAUGCCUUUUGGUUUAUGUAAUGCACCUGCUACCUUUCAAAGAUGCAUGAUGGCUAUAUUCUCUGACUUUUGUGAAAAGAUUUGUGAGGUCUUCAUGGACGAUUUCUCCGUUUAUGGAUCCUCUUUUGAUGAUUGCUUGAGCAACCUUGAUCGAGUUUUGCAGAGAUGUGAAGAAACUAACCUUGUCUUGAAUUGGGAGAAGUGCCACUUUAUGGUUAAUGAAGGCAUUGUCUUGGGGCACAAAAUUUCUGAAAGAGGUAUUGAAGUUGAUAAAGCUAAAGUUGAUGCUAUUGAAAAGAUGCUGUGUCCCAAGGACAUCAAAGGUAUAAGAAGUUUCCUUGGUCAUGCCGGUUUUUAUAGGAGGUUCAUUAAGGACUUCAAAAAAAUUUCUCGGCCUCUGACUAAUUUAUUACAAAAGAUAUACCAUUCGUUUUUUAUGAUGAUUGCGUAG
rnacentral:rRNA from 1 species